GGAUCCAGACUUUGAUUCUGGCUCACGAUGAACGCUAGCUACAGGCUUAACACAUGCAAGUCGAGGGGCAGCAUGACGAUAGCUUGCUAUUGUUGAUGGCGACCGGCGCACGGGUGAGUAACGCGUAUCCAACCUGCCCUUGUCCAUCGGAUAACCCGUCGAAAGGCGGCCUAACACGAUAUGCAGUCCACAGAAGGCAUCUGACGCGGACGAAAUGUGAAGGAGAAGGAUGGGGAUGCGUCUGAUUAGCUUGUUGGCGGGGUACGGCCCACCAAGGCGACGAUCAGUAGGGGUUCUGAGAGGAAGGUCCCCCACAUUGGAACUGAGACACGGUCCAAACUCCUACGGGAGGCAGCAGUGAGGAAUAUUGGUCAAUGGGCGAGAGCCUGAACCAGCCAAGUAGCGUGCAGGAUGACGGCCCUAUGGGUUGUAAACUGCUUUUAUGCGGGGAUAAAGUGAGCCACGUGUGGCUUAUUGCAGGUACCGCAUGAAUAAGGACCGGCUAAUUCCGUGCCAGCAGCCGCGGUAAUACGGAAGGUCCGGGCGUUAUCCGGAUUUAUUGGGUUUAAAGGGAGCGUAGGCCGUCUGAUAAGCGUGUUGUGAAAUGUCGGGGCUCAACCUGGGCAUUGCAGCGCGAACUGUGAGACUUGAGUGCGCGGGAAGUAGGCGGAAUUCGUCGUGUAGCGGUGAAAUGCUUAGAUAUGACGAAGAACUCCGAUUGCGAAGGCAGCCUGCUGUAGCGCAACUGACGCUGAAGCUCGAAAGCGUGGGUAUCGAACAGGAUUAGAUACCCUGGUAGUCCACGCGGUAAACGAUGGAUGCUCGCUGUUUGCGUCUGACGUAAGCGGCCAAGCGAAAGCGUUAAGCAUCCCACCUGGGGAGUACGCCGGCAACGGUGCAACUCAAAGGAAUUGACGG
rnacentral:rRNA from 1 species